UUACGGUCAUAUCGCGCCGAAACACCGGUUCCCCUACGAUCACCGAAGUUAAGCAACGUCGGGCCUGGUCAGUGAUGGGUGACCGCUUGGGAAUUCCAAGUGCAGUAAG